rnacentral:rRNA from 1 species
AUUGAACGCUGGUGGCAGGCCUAACCCAUGCAAGUCGAGCGGAGCGGCGGACGGGUGCGUGAUGCCUAGGAAUCUGCCUGGUAGUGGGGGAUAAGGUCCGGACAGGGGCGCUAAUACCGCAUACUCUCAGAUGAGCCUAGGUCGGAUUAGCUAGUUGGUGGGGUAAAGGCCUACCCAGGCGACGAUCCGUAACUGGUCUGAGAGGAUGAUCAGUCACACUGGAACUGAGACACGGUCCAGACUCCUACGGGAGGCAGCAGUGGGGAAUAUUGGACAAUGGGCGAAAGCCUGAUCCAGCCAUGCCGCGUGUGUGAAGAAGGUCUUCGGAUUGUAAAGCACUUUAAGUUGGGAGGCGUUACCAACAGAAUAAGCACCGGCUAACUUCGUGCCAGCAGCCGCGGUAAUAC